AGACUGAACGCUGGCGGCAUGCCUAACACAUGCAAGUCGAACGGCAGCACAGCCCCGCAAGGGGUGGGUGGCGAGUGGCGGACGGGUGAGGAAUACAUCGGAAUCUGCCCUGUUGUGGGGGAUAACCCAUCGAAAGGUGGGCUAAUACCGCAUGAGACGGUGACGUGAAAGCGGGGGACCUGUGAGGGCCUCGCGCGACGGGAUGAGCCGAUGUCGGAUUAGCUAGUUGGUAGGGUAAAGGCCUACAAGGCUACGAUCCGUAGCUAGGUCUGAGAGGAUGAUCAGCCACACUGGGACUGAGACACGGCCCAGACUCCUACGGGAGCAGCAGUGGGGAAUAUUGGACAA
rnacentral:rRNA from 1 species